UACGUAUGGGGCAAGCGUUAUCCGGAUUUACUGGGUGUAAAGGGAGCGUAGGCGGCAGGGCAAGCCUGAUGUGAAAGCCCGCGGCUCAACUGCGGUAGUGCAUUUGGAACUGUAUGGCUGGAGUGCAGGAGAGGCAGGCGGAAUUCCUAGUGUAGCGGUGAAAUGCGUAGAUAUUAGGAGGAACACCGGCGGCGAAGGCGGCCUGCUGGACCGUAACUGACGUUGAGGCUCGAAAGCGUGGGGAGCAAACAGG
rnacentral:rRNA from 1 species